rnacentral:rRNA from 1 species
UACGUAGGGGGCAAGCGUUGUCCGGAAUCAUUGGGCGUAAAGAGCGCGUAGGCGGUCCGGUAAGUCGGUUGUGAAAACUGGGGGCUCAACCCUCAGAGGCCGACCGAUACUGUCGGGCUAGAGUCCGGAAGAGGCGAGUGGAAUUCCGAGUGUAGAGGUGAAAUUCGUAGAUAUUCGGAGGAACACCAGUGGCGAAGGCGGCUCACUGGUCCGGUACUGACGCUGAGGUGCGAAAGCGUGGGGAGCAAACAGG